GUGUUUUGAGAGGCCAGGCUUCUGCAUGUCCUGCCUAACAGCAGCAGCAUUAAAAAAAACAAAAAGGUGGCAGGAGCUCUGUUGAAGUCUGUGAUCUGCACCAGCACUCAAACUGCGGUUUUUUACAGUGGAUGAUUUCCCGCUCCUGGAGAUCAUUGUCGUUGUUUCUGCGACAUUCUCCAGGAACAGCCUGGAAGACACAGACCUCCAGCGGACAACCGAUUCCAGGCUAGUGACGCCGACAGAACACGGCAGGAGAAGGAACAUCAGAAUUUUGCAGCGGCGGAUACUAUGGACGGAGGUUUGAAAGGCUUGUCGUAUGAAGAGUGUUUGAUGGCUCUGGGCCUGUUCUCACUGGAAUUCAGAAGGAUGACGGGUGACCUCACUGAAACUUGUGGAAUGUUGAAAGGCCUCAAAAGAGUGGAUGUGGUGAGGAUGUUUUCUAUGGUGGGGGAGUAUAAGAACAGAGGACACAGCCUUAGAAUAUAGGGCAUUCUUUUAGAAUGGAGAUGAGGAGGUAUUUCUUUAGAGAGAGAGUGGUGAAUCUGUGCAAUUCAUUGCCAUAGGCAGCUAUGGAGGCCAAGUCAGUGGGUAUAUAAUAAUAAUAAUACUACUACUACUACUAAUAAUAAUAAUAAUAAUAAUAAUAAUAGGGAAAUUAUAUCAUUACAGCAGCAACAUUAAAAAUCACACUUAGCAAUGAUAAUAAAUAAUAAUAACAUUAACUAAUAAUAAAGUACAGAAUAAUAAUAUACACAAUAAUAAUUUUCCAAUGUGUGAUAAUGUAGGAAAUAAUAAAACAGAGACUGUUGUACUAUGAUGUGUGUUCUCCUGUUGUAUGUACUUAUUGCAUUUAGUAGGAAAGAUUUUCUGUAAUGGUCCUUGUGACAGCAGAGCUGAAUGUGUCUAUUCAAAAGAGUGCUCAGCUGCUUAUUCAAUAGGUCAUGGAGAGGAUGUGCCAGAUUGUCCAUAAUGGAUAACAAUUUGUUCAGUGACCUCCUCUCCAUCUCUAACUCAGAAGAGUCCAGGUUGUAAUCAAAGACAAAUCCAGUCUUUCUGAUGAGUUUAUUUAGUUUUUUUUGCAUCACCAGCACCGAUGCUACUCCCCCAAAACAGAGCAGCAAAGAAGACUGCACCCGUUACAACAGACUGGCUAAAGAUCUCCGACAUCCUGCUGCACACAUUGAAGGAUUUCAGCUUCCUUAGAAACUAGAGUCUGCUCAUCCCCUUCUUGUAAACCACCUUGGUGUUGGUUUUCCAAUCAAGUCUAUUGUCAAGGUGAACACCCAAGUAUUUGUACUCCUCCACCAUCACAACUUCUUCUCCCAGAAUGUAUACAGGACUCAUCACCAUCCUCUUCUUCCUAAAAUCAGUCACCAUCUCCCUGGGUUCGGCCUCAUUCCGGAGCUGGUGAUUCCUCCCACACCACUCCACAAACUCGUCCAUCAGUCCUCUCUACUCCAACUCCUCUGACACAACCAACAAACGCAGGGCCAUCAGAGAAUUUCUGCAAGUGAUGAGACUCAGACUUUGUACUGAAAUUCUGAGAUGUACAGUGUGAGCAGAAACAGAAACUCCUAUAUUUUAGGCAGAAUUUGAUAGAUUCUUGAUUGCUCAAACUAUAAAGGGAUACCAGAAGAAGAUGGGAGACUAGGGCUGAGAGGGGAAAUGGAUCAGCCAUGAUGAAAUGGCAUUUUAGAUUCGAUCGGCCAAAUGGCCUAAUUCUGCUCCUAUAUCUUAUUGUCUUAUUGUCUUUUUGUCCCUUGUUAUCUGCUCUUCAGAUGUCAUGGUGGGCUUUCUUCAUGCACUGUUGAAAUUCUUCUAGUGAAAGAUGUUGUUCUUUUUGAGUAUAUUUGAUAGGAUGAAACUGAAGGAAUUGUUGUCCCACUUGGAGAGCAUUCAAGAUGCUGGCUAAGGUGUAUCAGAUUAGAUCAGUUCAUCAUUUGCUUAUUGUUGAUGCACCAUUGAGAGCCCUCUGUCUGGAUGCAUAACAGCUUAAUAUUUCAACAGGUCUACGUGUAACCAUUAGAAACUGAAGAAUCAUGGGCAUAGGUCAACACAUCACAGGAAUCAGCCUCUCCUUUGUGGGCUCUGUCUACACUACUCAUGGGCUUGGUAAAGGAGCCAACACAAUCAAAGACACCCUGGCAUUCUCUUUUCUCCCCCAUUCCACUGGGCAGAACAUACAAAAGCCUGAAAGUAUGUACCACCAGUCUCAAUGACAGUUUCUAUCCUGUAGUUAUGAGAUCUUGAACAGAUGGAGUCUUGUAUGAUAAGAUAGACUCUUGACCUCACAAUCUACCUUGUUAUGACCUUUCACUUUAGCACUUAACGGUACUGCACUUUUUGGUAGCUUUUACACUUAGCUCAAUGCCCUGUGUAAUGAUUUGAUCUGUAUGAAAAAUACAUAAAACAAGUUUCACUUAAUCUUAGUGCCUGUGACAAUAAUGCACCAAUACCAAGGGCAAUAACCAGCUGAAGGA